rnacentral:rRNA from 1 species
GAACGUGGCAAGCGUUGUUCGGAUUUACUGGGCGUACAGGGAGCGUAGGCGGUUCGGUAAGCCCUCUGUGAAAUCUCCAGGCUUAACCUGGAACAGUCGGAGGGGACUGCUGGGCUAGAGGACGGGAGAGGAGCGCGGAAUUCCCGGUGUAGCGGUGAAAUGCGUAGAGAUCGGGAGGAAGGCCGGUGGCGAAGGCGGCGCUCUGGAACGUUUCUGACGCUGAGGCUCGAAAGCGUGGGGAGCAAACAGGAUUAGAUACCCUGGUAGUCCACGCCUUAAACUAUGAAUACUAAGUGUCGGCGGUUUACCGCCGGUGCCGCAGCUAACGCAUUAAGUAUUCCGCCUGGGAAGUACGGCCGCAAGGUUG